CCCUUAGAUGUUCUGGGCUGCACGCGCGCUACAAUGACGUUUUCAAAAAGAUUGCUAAUCCGAAAGGACCAGCGGAUCUUCGAAGUGGCGUCGUGAUCGGGACAGUUGAUUGCAAUUAUUCGACUCGAACGAGGAAUUCCUUGUAAUCGUGCGUCAUCAGCGCACGCUGAAUACGUCCCUGUUCUUUGUACACACCGCCCGUCGCUCCUACCGAUCGAGCGAUCCAAUGAAUGUUUCGGAGCGGAACUGAGAUGCUAAUGCGUCUCUUUUACGCGAAUUUGUGUGAAUUUGAUCGCUUAGAGGAAGGAGAAGUCGUAACA
rnacentral:rRNA from 1 species